ACACUUACCCGGCAGAGCAGACACCAUGAUCACAAAGAUGGUUUUCCCAGGGCGAGGCUCAUCCAUUUCCCUGCGGGUGUAUUGACCCCUGCGAUUUCCCCAAAUGUGGGACACUCGACUGCGAUUUGUGGUAGUGGGGGACUGCGUUCGCUCUAUGCCCUG
ensembl:snRNA U1 U1 spliceosomal RNA